CAACAACUAGUUCUUCAGGUUUCUCUUCAAGUGCCAGUUCUUCAGGUGUUUCCUCCUUUGCCAGCUCUUCAGGUGUUUCCUCCUUUGCCAGCUCUUCAGGUGUUUCUUUAGCUGCCGGUUCUUCAGGUUUCUCUUCAACCUCCGGUUCUUGUGGUAUUUCCUCUACUUGUACUUCAGAUUUCUCCUCAAUUGUUGGUUCUUCAGGUUUCUCUCUAACCGCUGCUGCAUUAGGUUUCUCUUCAUUGGCUGGUUCUUCAGGUUUUUCUUCAACUACCGAUUCUUCAGGAUUUUCCUCAAUGUUUGGAAAGGGAGCGACAUCAUUAUUGGUAUUGCAUGGAAUUUCACUGCCAGUUUUGUCAUUCAAGUCCACAACUAGUAUAUUCUGCAAAAGAGUUUAAUGUUUCACUUAGUCUUUCAAUAAAGAAGCAGAUGCGAAUCAUUACAUAUACAUAACUAAUAACAUGGAUAAACUUUAUGACAGUAGUUGACCCUUACCUUUUCCACAAGAGUUACUUUUGCAGGUUUCUCCUCUUCAAGUGCUGGUUUCUCUUCAAAUGAUAGUUCAUUAGGUGUUUCUUCCCGUGUUGGUUCUUCAUGUGCUUCUUCAGUUACUGGUUUUUCAGGUUUCUCCUCAAUUGUUGGUUCUUCGCUUGUCUUCUCAACUGAUGGUUCCUCAUGCUUCUCUCCCGUUGUUGAUUUUUCGGGUUUCUCUUCAGUUGUCGAUGGUUCAGUUUUUUUCUCAACCGCUGGUUCUUUUGGCUUCUCCAAAACCAUUUCCGAUUUCUCUUCAGUUGGUGGUUCUUCAUGGUUUUUUUCAACUACUGGUUCUUCUCUUUUUUCCUCAACUGAUGCAUAGUCAGCAAUAUCGUUGUUGGUAUUGCUUGGAAUUGCAUUGUCUGUCUUGUCCUUUGAGCUUACAAUUGGCAUAUUCUGCUAGAAAAAUAUAAAGUUUCAUGUAGUCUUUCAACAGAGAAACCAAUGUAAAUUUGUUGCACAUAUAAAGCUAACAAAUAUGAUGGAUAGACUUUGCGAGAGUGUUUAAUACUCACCUUCUCCGGAAGAGCUUCCGUUUCAGGUUCCUCUUCAAUUUCUGCUUUUUCAUCUUUCUCUUCAACAACUAGUUCUUCAGGUGUCUCUUCAACCGUUGAUUCUUCAGGUUUCUCUUCAAGUGUUAGUUCUUGAGGUGUUUCCUCCUUUGCUAGCUCUUCAGGUGUUUCUGUAACUGCCGGUUCUUCAGGUUCCUCUUCAGCCACCGGCUGUUGACGUAUCUCCUCUACUUGUACUUCAGAUUUCUCCUCAAUUGUUGGUUCUUCAGGUUUCUCCUUAACCGCUGGUACAUCAGGUUUAUCCUCAUUGACUGGUUCUUCAACUGCUGAUUCUUCUAGAUUUUCCUCAAUGUCUGGAAAGCGAGCAACAUCAUUAUUGGUAUUGCAUGGAAUUUCAUUUCCAGUUUCGUUAUUCGAGUCUACAAUUAGCAUAUUCUGCAAAAAGAAUUUAAUGUUUCAUUUAGCCUUUCAAUAAAGAAGCAUAUGCGAAUAACAGUACAUGCAUAACUAACAAAAUGGAUAAACUUUGUGAUAGUGCUUGAUCCUUACCUUUGCCAAAAGAGUUACCUUUUCAGGUUUCUCCUCUUCAACGGUUGGUUCUUCAUGUUUCUUUUCAAAUGCUAGUUCCUUGGUUGUUUCUUCCGGUGUUGGUUCCAUAGGUGUUUCUUCAGUUACUUGUUUUUCGGGUUUCUCUUCAAUUAUUGGUUCUUCGAUUGUCUUCUCAACUGAUGGUUCUUCAAGAUUUUCUCCCACUGUUGGUUUUUGGGGUUUCUCUUCUAUUGUUGGUUGUUCAGGAAUUUUCUCAACUGGUGGUUCUGCUGGAUAUUCCAAAACCAUUGAUUCUUCAGAUUUCUCUUCAAUUGAUGGUUCUUCAUGGGUUUUUUCAACUACUGGUUCUUCAAUUUUUUCCUCAACAGAUGCAUAGUCAACAAUAUCAUUAUUGGUAUUGCUUGGAAUUGCAUCGUCUGUCAUGUCCUUUGAGUUUACUUUUGGCAUAUUCUGCAAUAGAGUUUCAUGUAAUCUUUCAACAGAUAAACAGAUGUAAAUUUGUUGCACAUAUAAAGCUAAUAUGGUGGAUAAACUUUGUGACAGUGUUUAAUCCUCACCUUCUCCUGAAGAUCUUCCGCUUCAAGUUCCUCCUCUACAAUUGCAGUUUUUUCCUCUUCCCCUUCAACAACUAGUUCUUCAGGUGCCUCUUCAGCCGUUGAUUCUUCAGGUUUCUCUUCAAGUGCUAGUUCUUCAGGUGUUUCCUCCUUUGCCAGCUCUUCAGGUGUUUCUUUAGAUGCCGAUUCUUCAGGUUUCUCUUCAGCCAUCGGUUCUUGAGGUAUUUCCUCUACUUGUACUUCAUAUUUCUCCUCAAUUGUUUGUUCUUCAGGUUUCUCUUCAGGUUUCUCCUUAACCACUGGUACAUCAGGUUUCUCUUGAUUAACUGGUUCUUUGGGUUUUUCUUCAACAGCCGAAUCUUCAGGAUUUUCCUCAAUGUCUUGAAAGCAAGCAAUAUCUUUAGUGGUAUUGCAUGGAAUUUCACUGCCAGUUUUGUUGUUCGAGUCUACAAUUAGCAUAUUCUGCAAAAGGAAUUUGAUGUUUCAUUUAGCCUUUUAAUAAAGAAGCAGAUGUGAAUAACAUUACAUGCAUAACUUACAAAAUGGAUAAAUUUUGUGACAGUCCUUGACCCUUACCUUUUCAGGUUUCUCCUCUUCAACAGCUGAUUCUUCAUGUUUCUCUUCAAAUGCUAGUUCUCUGGGUGUUUCUUCCCGUAGUGCUUCUUCAUGUGCUUCUUCAGUUACUGGUUUUUCAGGUUUCUCCUCAAUUGUUGGUUCUUUGAUUGUCUCCUCAACAGAUGGUUCUUCAAGCUUCUCUCCCGUUGUUGAUUUUUCUGGUUUCUCUUCAAUUGCUGGUUGUUCAGGAAUUUUCUCAACAGCUGGUUCUUCUGGCUUCUCUAAAACCAUUGAUUCUUCAGCUUUCUCUUCAAUUGAUGGUUCUUCAUGGUUUUUUUCAACUAUUGGUUCUUCAGUUUUUUCCUCAACGGAUGCAUAGUCAACAAUAUCAUUGUUGGUAUUGCUUGGAAUUGCAUCGUCUGUCAUGUCCUUUGAGUUUACUUUUGGCAUAUUCUACAAUAAAGUUUCAUGUAGUCUUUCAAUAGAUAAACAGAUGUAAAUUUGUUGCAACAUAUAAAGCUAAUAUGGUGGAUAAACUUUGUGACAGUGUUUAAUCCUCACCUUCUCCCGAAGAUCUUCCGCUUUAAGUUCCUCCUCUUCAAUUGCUGUUUUUUCAUCUUUCGUUUCAACAACUAGUUCUUCAGGUGCCUCUUCAGCCGUUGAUUCUUCAGGUUUUUCUUCAAGUGCCAGCUCUUCAGGUGUUUCCUCCUUUGCCAUCUCUUCAGGUGUUUCCUCCUUUGCCAGCUCUUCAGGUGUUUCUUUAGCUGCUGGUUCUUCAGGUUUCUCUUCAGCCGCCAGUUCUUGAGGUAUCUCCUUUUCUACUUCAGAUUUCUCCUCAACUGUUGGUUCUUCAGGUUUCUCUUCAUUAACUGGUUCUUUGGGUUUUUCUUCAACAGCCGAAUCUUCAGGAUUUUCCUCAAUGUCUGGAAAGUGAGCAACAUCUUUAUUGGUAUUGCAUGCAAUUUCACUGUCAGUUUUGUCGUUCAAGUCUACAAUUAGCAUAUUC
rnacentral:lncRNA from 1 species